AUUGAACGCUGGCGGCAUGCCUUACACAUGCAAGUCGAACGGUAACAGGUCUUCGGAUGCUGACGAGUGGCGAACGGGUGAGUAAUACAUCGGAACGUGCCUAGUAGUGGGGGAUAACUACUCGAAAGAGUGGCUAAUACCGCAUGAGAUCUACGGAUGAAAGCAGGGGAUCGCAAGACCUUGUGCUACUAGAGCGGCCGAUGGCAGAUUAGGUAGUUGGUGGGAUAAAAGCUUACCAAGCCGACGAUCUGUAGCUGGUCUGAGAGGACGAUCAGCCACACUGGGACUGAGACACGGCCCAGGCUCCUACGGGAGGCGGCAGUGGGGAAUUUUGGACAAUGGGCGUGAGCCUGAUCCAGCAAUGCCGCGUGCGGGAUGAAGGCCUUCGGGUUGUAAAGGACUUUUGUCCGGGAGCAAAUGCUGGUGGCUAACAUCCACCGGAGCUGAGAGUACCGGAAGAAUAAGCACCGGCUAACUACGUGCCAGCCGCCGCAGUAAAAC
rnacentral:rRNA from 1 species